AGAUUAAGUUAUUAAGGGCGCACGGUGGAUGCCUUGGCACUAGAAGCCGAUGAAGGACGUUACUAACAACGAUAUGCUUUGGGGAGCUGUAAGUAAGCUUUGAUCCAGAGAUUUCCGAAUGGGGAAACCCAGCAUGAGUUAUGUCAUGUUAUCGAUAUGUGAAUACAUAGCAUAUCAGAAGGCACACCCGGAGAACUGAAACAUCUUAGUACCCGGAGGAAGAGAAAGAAAAUUCGAUUCCCUUAGUAGCGGCGAGCGAAACGAGAAGAGCCCAAACCAACAAGCUUGCUUGUUGGGGUUGUAGGACACUCUAUACGGAGUUACAAAGGACGACAUUAGACGAAUCAUCUGGAAAGAUGAAUCAAAGAAGGUAAUAAUCCUGUAGUCGAAAAUGUUGUCUCUCUUGAGUGAAUCCUGAGUACGACGGAGCACGUGAAAUUCCGUCGGAAUCUGGGAGGACCAUCUCCUAAGGCUAAAUACUCUCUAGUGACCGAUAGUGAACCAGUACCGUGAGGGAAAGGUGAAAAGCACCCCGGAAGGGGAGUGAAAUAGAACCUGAAACCGUGUGCUUACAAGUAGUCAGAGCCCGUUAAUGGGUGAUGGCGUGCCUUUUGUAGAAUGAACCGGCGAGUUACGAUUUGAUGCAAGGUUAAGCAGUAAAUGUGGAGCCGUAGCGAAAGCGAGUCUGAAUAGGGCGUUUAGUAUUUGGUCGUAGACCCGAAACCAGGUGAUCUACCCUUGGUCAGGUUGAAGUUCAGGUAACACUGAAUGGAGGACCGAACCGACUUACGUUGAAAAGUGAGCGGAUGAACUGAGGGUAGCGGAGAAAUUCCAAUCGAACCUGGAGAUAGCUGGUUCUCUCCGAAAUAGCUUUAGGGCUAGCCUCAAGUGAUGAUUAUUGGAGGUAGAGCACUGUUUGGACGAGGGGCCCCUCUCGGGUUACCGAAUUCAGACAAACUCCGAAUGCCAAUUAAUUUAACUUGGGAGUCAGAACAUGGGUGAUAAGGUCCGUGUUCGAAAGGGAAACAGCCCAGACCACCAGCUAAGGUCCCAAAAUAUAUGUUAAGUGGAAAAGGAUGU
rnacentral:rRNA from 1 species